CCUUAUAUACAUGCCUACAACAUUAAUGCACAUGAUCCAAUUAGAACUCCGUUGUUAAGCAUGCUUGGAAUAAAGUAGUACUGGGAUGGGUGACCUCUUGAGAAGUCCUAGUGUUUUACAUGCC
rfam:Picea glauca, whole genome shotgun sequence.